AGGAAGGGAACGCGGCAAGCGCCCAGUGGUGCAUCUAGCCCGAGAUGGGCUGCAACAGGGUGAGAGUCUGGGGGAGGGGAGACGGAGGAGAGUCCCGCGCUCUCCUUCCCAGGGUUCUGAGUCCACGUAGGUCGCCUCCAGCCAAGGGUCUGCGUGCCCCCUCCUCUUCUCAAGACGCCUCUGGCCUCGCCCCUCCCUCUCACAUUCCCGACUCCCAAGGACAACUUGUCGCUUCAGAAACCCCGGGGCUUCUUUCUGUCCCCCAGACUCUUUCUCCCCUACUUCUUUUGUCUAUUUCUGCAUUUGACGGCUUCUCUAGGAAGCGUUCCCAGCAUCUCCUUCUUUCUUGUCCAUUCUCUCUCUCUCUCUCUCUCUCUCUCACACACACACACACACACACACACACACACACACACACACACACACAGUCUCUGUCUGCCGGCCAUCUCGGCGCCUUUCCUCCGUCCUCCGCGACUCUGGCCUUUCAGAGGGCGCAAGGCCCACUCCUGGAGCCGCUGCGCGGUCAUCCGACGGCGCCCCAGGAAGGGGGCAGGUGAGAUUGGCGGGAGCCCCGCCCUGGCGGACGCGGAGGAAGGGGGCGCCCGCGCCAAUCCGCCGCCUCGGCCCUUUCCUCGCCCCUCUCACCCCCUCGCCGGCGCCAGGGGGACGGAGGACGCACGAGUCCCUUCGCGCCCCUAGCGCCGUCGUCGGCGCCGCCGCCCCAGACCCAGACACUGCGCCCAGAGGCCUUACGGGGCGGGGGGCGGCGACCCGCAGCCGCCGAGCCCUUGGCCCCGGCGUCGUCACCGGCGUCCCUGGGCUCUGGAGCGCCCAAAGCCCCGGGUCCCUGCAGCCUCUGAGGACGCGCGGAGGACGGCGCGGUUCGGAGAGAGGGCGCCAAAGGCGACGCGCCCGCGGCCAGCUCCAGGCCAAGCCCAGAGCGUCUGCGGGAACCGGCCCCUCCACCGCCGCGGGACGCAGAGCUGCGCGAGGACUCAACGCCAGGGCGCCGCCUAGAGGUCGGCCGCGGCCUCAGCCUCACCCGCCGGCCACCACGGAGCUGCUUCCCCAGCGGCGGCCAGAAAUCAGGGGACAAAAAAUCCAGCCUGGGUCUCAGGGAUGUGGCUUCCGGCACCUCUGACUCCUCUCAAACCCACCCCUCCAACGUGAUGAGCCGUAGGAAGGGAGACGGAAGAAGACGGCCCAGAACUAUUUACUCACCUUGUGACUAACUAAAUGGAAGGGGGUCUCCAUUUCCGUGUCGUUGAAGAUCCCGUGUUCUGCACCGGUGUCUAUAUUGCCCCCUCUCACCACCCACUGCCCAGUGCCCUCCGAUUAUGCUAGACCUCUGCUUUACCUUCGAGGAGGCGCAAGAGUAGGGAAAAAUUGCCCCUAAAUCUUACAGCGUGGUCGUCUACAUUAUCGACUUUCUGAAUAAUUUGGAGAUCGACGUGCUUUGGGGGAGAGUAUUCGGAAAACAUCCGAGGGUGAAAAGCAGCAUUGCCUAAGUGGCCUUUCCUCACUGAGUGACCAUUAGCUCAACUGGUGUCUGAACGGCAUUCAGGAGGGUGCCCGUUGGCACCAGCGCCCCUGUUGGACAGGAGGGGAUGGAAACCGUUUGAAGUUCAUCAACACGGUGAAGUUUUAUUGUAUUUCCGGUCCCCAAGAUUUAUACCCGGGCGGGGGAGCGGGCGGCCAGGCAGACUCCCUCGCUCCCUCGGACUUCCCCG